AAAAAGAAAGCUUCCUUAGGGUUUCACCAACCCUCAAGUGCCGCCGUUCAGCCUAUGCCCAAGCUCCAAUUUCGAUGGAGAUGGCAUCGACUCGGCGACUCCGGCGAAAAGGUGAACGUGGGGAUACGGCGCGUGUGGUGUGGGCCGGUUCCGAGACGUGCGGCUGCUGGGGUCUUUAGGAAGCUGUUUGAGUUUUAGGGUUUCGGUUGUUUUUAUGUUAGGCUUGGGUUAGUUGGGUAUUGGGUUUUAAUUUGUAAUGGGUAAUUGGGCUUAGGUGGGUAUCGGGCCUACUAUUAGGUUUGUAAAAGAAUUGUUUUUGGAUUUUAAAAUGUUUUACGUGCCCGGGCAGAAAAAUUGGGUAUUACAUAAAUAAUAAUAAUUUUAUUUUUUCAUUA